rnacentral:rRNA from 1 species
GACGAACGCUGGCGGCGUGCUUAACACAUGCAAGUCGAACGCUGAAGCUCAGCUUUUGUUGGGUGGAUGAGUGGCGAACGGGUGAGUAACACGUGAGUAACCUGCCUCCUUCUUUGGGAUAACGCCCGGAAACGGGUGCUAAUACUGGAUAUUCACUGGCCUUCGCGUGGGGGUUGGUGGAAAGGGUUUUUUUGGUGGGGGAUGGGCCCGCGGCCUAUCAGCUUGUUGGUGGGGUGAUGGCCUACCAAGGCUUUGACGGUUAGCCGGCCUGAGGGGGUGACCGGUCACAUUGGGACUGAGAUACGGCCCAGACUCCGACGGGGGGCAGCAGUGUGGAAUAUUGCACAAUGGGCGCUAGCCUGAUGCAGCGACGCCGCGGGAGGGAUGGAGGCCUUCGGGUUGUGAACCUCUUUCGCUCAUGGUCAAGCCGCAACAAUGGUUGUGGUGAGGGUAGUGGGUAAAGAAGCGCCGGCUAACUACGUG